rnacentral:lncRNA from 1 species
GACUCGGCGCGGCUGCCUCCUCGGGGCAGAGUCCCGGGCCGGGCGGCGGCGCGCGGACAAAGCGCUCUCUCUGCCUCCCUCUCUCUCCCUCUCAAGGCGGUGGCGGGAGGAGGAGCAGCGGCGGGCGGCGGCAGCGCACCCCGCGUGUGUCUGUGUGAGAGUUUGUACGGGCGUGUGCGCAGCCGAGAGGGAGCGAGCGAGCGCCCCCUCCCCGCCCCGCGCCGCUGCGCCCCUCGCCUCGCGCCCACCGCGCUCGGCAGUGGCUGCUCGGGCUCCGGCCCCGCGCCAGGCGGGCGGAAGCGGGUCGCGGCCCCGGGCUGGGGCUCCGGGCGCCGGAACCCCGGGCGGGCGCGGCGCCGAGGCCGGGCGAGCGGCGGGGCGGGGAAGGCGCGCCCCGGGCGCGGGUGGGAGCGCGCGAGGGGGCGACGGGGAGCCGCGGGCGUGGGAGGGAGAGGGGCUGCGAGUGAGCGCGGAGAGGGGUGUGCGCAAGGUGGACCGGAUGUGAGUGCGCUGCUGCCAGGGCAAGCGGGAAGGUGUGUCCCGGAGGAGGGAGAAGAAUGGCGGGAUUCAGAGGUGAGGAGGCAGAAGAAGAUUCCAAGCUCUGGACCUCUGGGGGCCACUGGGAGAGUUGAAGGUUUGAUCGCGGAUAUGUUGGGUUUUGUGAAGGCGUUGGGGCGCGGGUGCGGGGAGUGUCCUUGGGUGGAGAAGUCACGAAUGUAGGAAUGGAACAAGUUCGGGUCUCCUGACUGGGUCGUGAAGUAGUAUUGUCUUUCCCAAGCUUUCCUGUUGAUGAGCGGCGUGGAGAGAAUGGGGCUUGCUGGAUUUUGUAUUUUCCGCAAGUACUCCCAGGUGAUUCUGGUCUGGUAAACACUGUUGGAGUGGAAGGCCUAUCUGCCCCGGACUCAGACCUUCUCUCUGCCCCCAUCUUUGUGCCCUGAGAUGUUCCAGCAUUCUCGAGCCUAAGUUUCUUCAUCUAUAAGGAGAUAAAAUAACCAGUCCUCGCAGGGCUGUUGUGAGGGCUACAAGAAGGAUAACUGCCUAGCGUGUUGAGACAUGGGUGGUCAGACACUUAAUGCCUGUUUCUCUUCUUUCCCCCAGGAAUUCAUGAACUUUUAAAAUACUUUAUUCUACAGAAGGAGAUCUUCUUAACUAAUUAGGUAUCCAGAGGAGAAAGUAAUGAAUCCAUUUUCACCUAGAUAUUUGCAGUUAUUUGAAUUCUGGCUUUUGUCUCAAGUAUUCACAUAUUUUUUUCUCUCUCUAGAAAAAGAAUCGGAUUUUACUGCUCCAGGAGUUGAGAAUGAACUUGGUUACUAAUCCCCAAAGUAAUAGAUAAACUAGGUGUGGAUGCUUCUUUACUAAAUUGUAUCAGAGAAUCACAAAUGAACAUGACUUGUGCAUGCAUAAACCUCAGCAGACUGAACUAACCAUCUUUAGAUUAUUUACACAUGUGCUCCUAAUUGAUAUGGUCACCUUUAUAUUAUAGGACAGCAUAUUUGCUUAUUAUUCACAGGUACAUGUAAAGGAGAAACGAGAGUGGCAGGAAUAGUUGGCCUCAUUCCUCUCCAACAGAGAAAUAAUUGCUCUUUGCUGCAGUUGUCAGCUGUCCUGCUGGAAUUUUGGAAACAGCAGGGCUGCAGAAGGAGGGCUUGAACUGUAAGUGUGAUGGAGGGCAUGCUUCCACUACACCCCUGGUUUGCAGCAUCUACAGUGCCUUAUCUUAGAAUGCAGAGUUAUUUUUCACAUGAUAGAGAAGGGGUUGGGGACCUUUGAAGACAAUAGGGGACAGCCUCCAAGUGCAAAGUCAGAAAUUCAGAGGCCUUGCUCCUGCCAGGCAAAACUUAUUUUCUACCUGUUUUCUCUCGAGUUCCCCUACUUAUCCCUCCCCCAGAGAGCUGAAACAGAGACCAUCUUGAUUGAUCUAGACUUGGUUUACACCUGAUAAGCCAAGAUUUUAUGAAUGUUUAACAGAGGUCAGAAAUUUGGAGAAAAUCUUAUAGUAGGCAUAUUACCUUUUAAAGCAUGAAUUAACUAAUGUUUUCCUCAAGAGUUUCAAAGGCAGUACAGAUCCUCAUUGUUUCCCAGCGAUUCUUUUGGGCAAGACAGUGAUAAGGUGGCUGGGACAAGCUUUCUUAAUCCUUCUUUUCAGGUAAGAAAACUGAAGCUCAGGAAAGUAUAAUUUUUUCUUAAUCACAUGGAGGGCCUGAAACACACCUGGAAAAAACAUUUUAGUCUAACAACAAAGAGUUCAUAAGUGUUAAGUCUUUUUCUUUUCUUUUUUUUUUUUUUUUUUUAAAAAAAGUCUUACUGUCACCCAGGCUGGAGUGUGGUGGGGUGAUCAUGGCUCACUGCAAUCUCAAACUUCCAGACUCAAGCAGUCCUCCCACCUCAGUCUCCCGAGUAGCUGGGACUACAGAUGCAUGCCACCAUGCCCAGCUAAAAUUUUUUUUAAGAGAUGGGAUCUCACUGUGUUGCCCAGGCUGGUCUCAAACUCUUGAGCUCAAGCGAUCCUUUUGAACCUACAAAGCUAUAGCGGAAUGUUUUUUUGCUCAACUGAUAAUGUAGUCAGUAUAACCAGUGUCUCUAGAUAAUGUGAGAAGUUGAAAGAGAAAGUGAAGCCUAUUUGCUGGAAGGCUGAGGCAAAGCCAACAUUUGGAGGUAAUUCUUAGAAGGUCCUGCACCUGCCUGUGCAUCAGGAAUGAUUUGGUAGUAGGGUAAUGUCCCUUAGACCAGUAGUCCCCAACCAUUUUGGCACCAGGGACCGGUUUCAUGGAAGACUAUUUUUCCACAGACAGGUUGGGGGGUGGUUUCAGGAUGAAACUUCUUCACCUCAAAUCAUCAGGCAUUAGUUAGAUUCUCAUAGGGAGCAUGCAACCUAUCCUCACAUGCGCAGUUCAAAAUAAGGUUCAAGUUCCGAUGAGAAUCUGAUGCCACCGCUGAUCUGACAGGAGGUGGAGCUCAGGCAGUAAUGCUUGCCUGCUCCUCACCUCCUGCUGUGUAGCCGGGUUCCUAACAGGCCACAGUACCAGUCCAUGGCACCAAGGUUGGGGACCCCUGCCUUAGACACCUUUUCUUGAGUUAGCAUAAGAUAAUUGCCUUAUGCCAGUUACUUCAUCUAUUUGAGCUUCAGAUUCCUCAUUUGUAAACUAGCCCAAUUGUUUCCUCACUAUAAACUCUAGCCUACCUCCCCCUGCAGUUUCAUAUUAUGCAAAUGCUAGGUCAUUUCAGAAUUCCGUCUUUUUGCACAUUUGUUCUCUUUCCCUGGAAUGCAUUUCUUCCCCUGGUAAACUCCUGUCUUCCCCUGACUUGGCCCCAUGAUACACACAGCACUUCAUACAGAUAAAAAAUAUUUUGUCUAGUGAUAGUUGUACAACUGUGAAUAUAUUAAAAACCAUUGAAGUGUAUUUUAAGUGAGUAAAUUUUACGGUAUGUGAGUUAUAUCUGAAUUUUUAAACAUGGAGGAUGGAGGGAAGCCUUCCCUACUACAUGGUGGGUUUCUGGAGGAAUAAGAUCUUCUCAUUUUCCUGUUAGAAUUUCCUUUGGCCCGUAUGAAACCUGGUCCAUAAUAAAGGCUCGGGUAAUAUUGUUGAAUAAACAAUGACCAUCUGAGGUUUGCUCUAAGGGAUUAAACGAAGAUGUAUGUGAUGGUAUUUAUCUUGCACAAUCCCCUUGUUGAAUUCAUUUAUUCAUGGCACUGUGUAGUGCUAAGCACUGAGGAUACAGAAUAAAUAAACAUCAUCCUGAUCUCAAGGAAUUUAUGGUCAGUGGAGGAGGCAGAUAUAUAAACAGACCAUAGCAUGGCAUUAGAGGUGCCACAGUAGACUUUGUGAGCAUACAAGAUAGAGCAUCCCAUUCAGCCCAGUGUUGGGGAAGGGAACAUCAGGAAAGAAUUGAUUUUGGUUUUGAAGGAUAAUUAGGGAUUUACUAGAAUACAAGACGUAAGAGAGGAAAUACAUCCUAGGCAGAAAGAAUAGCAUAUGCAAAGGCACAGACACACAAAGUAUCUGUUCCACAUUUGAAAUCCAAUCCAAAUGUUAACUCAGAAAUGUUUGAGAACAAGACAGAAGAAAUAAUGCAAAACAAAAAAGAUUCUCAGAAUCAAAGACAUGGAUCUCCAGAUCAAAGAGUUUGCAGAAGGCCCAGCAAAAUGAAUGAUAGAAGAUCUAAAAAUCACAUCAUCAUGAAAUUCUGAACUCAAAUUAUAAAAGCAUCUGGACAAAAUAGGUCGCAUACAAAGGAGUUGGAACAGGAAUGAGAAUGUAUUUUCCUAAAACAGGAAACUAGGGAGUCAAUAGAGCAAUGCCUUUAAAACUGAGUGGAAAUUAUCUUCAAUCUAGAAUUCUAAACCUAGUGAGACCAUCAGUUUAAAAAGAUAUGCAAGAAUUCAGACAUGCCCGUUUUGGGGAAGCUACUGGGAGAUAAGUGCCAGCAAAACCAUGGAAGAAGAUUACAUGGGAUUUGGGAAAUAAGGAAUCCAACAUGGUAGACUCUGAAUUUAAAAAUCCAGAAUGCCUGCAAUGCAGCCAUCCCACGAGCAACCAGCACAGAUUGGAACAAGAGGAUAGAUGGCUCAGAAUGAGGUCUUCAAGGAACAACAACAAAAUGGAACUCAUUUCUGUGAGUGCAUAAUGAUUAUUUCUGAUAGGAUAGCAGACAUGUUGGAGCAUUUGGAAAAAAUUAAUCACAAGUAUAUGGAAAGCCAGACAAGUGGGAAAACAAGGAAAUCAUUAACUGAAGGAAAAAUACGUGGUCAUACAAGAAAGGAGCAAUGGUCAUAGGCUCAACAGUGAAAAUGUUUGUACAGUCAUAGUGUAAACACUGAUGUAUUAUCCAAGCUGCAUAAAGAGAUCUUAUAAAUCAAUUAGAAAAAGACAACCAUUGGAAAAACGAGCAAAGUGUAUGAAUGGGCUAAUUCACAGAAGAUGAAACUCAAGCUCAACUCAUGAGUAAUUGGGGAAAUUAAAACUAUUCACUGGCUGGGCAUGGUGGCUCAUGCCUGUAAUUCCAGCACUUUGGGAGCCUGAAGCAGGAGGGACUGCUCGAGGCCAGGAGUUCAAGACCAACCUGGUCAAUGAAGUAAGACCCAGUCUCUACAAAAAAAAAAAAAAUUAAAAAUUAGCAGAGUGUGGUAGUACAUACCUGUAGUCCUAGCCAUUCAGGAGGCUGAGGCAAGAGGAUUCCUUGAGUCCAAAAGGUUCAGGCUACAGUGAGCUAUGAUCAUGCCACUGCACUCCAGUUUAGGUGACAGAGCGAUACCCUGUCAUUUAUACAUACAUAUGUACAUAAAAUCAAAUUGACAAAAAUCUUAAAAUUCUGAUGGUUCAAGGGUCUUAGUGAGGGUAUGGAGCAUCAGAAACAGUCAUCCACUGCUGGCAAGAGUAUACACAGGUACAAUUACUCUGAAGAGUAAUUUGUCAGUAUCUAGCAAAGCUGAAGAUACAGGCCCUGAGUACGGCCUGGCAGUCUUUCUCCAAGAUGGUUAUUUCUUAUCUCACUUUCAGCUUCUAAUUGAUCAUCUCCACCCAGGGUCUCAGCUGAUAACCCUGCUUUCUAUUUCACUGAGAGACUAGAAGCAAGCAGAAAAGCACUUCAAAUAUUUGCCCACAUACUUGCAUCUGUGCCCAUAGACUCCAUAUUUCUUAAAUUAUAAUGGAUGACUAUGCAUGAUUUAGAAGAGAGGUAAAAACUGAUGACUCCAGAGAAAAUAAACAUCCACACCCUUUGUGGAAGAAACAUAUAUGACCAUUCAUUGUAGCACUGUGAUGGUGAAAAAUUUAAAUGUCCAUCAACAAUAAAACUGGUACAUUGUGGCAUAGCUAUAAAUUGACUACUAUAUAUUGAGUCAAAGGGGACACAUGUUUAUUCAUUUUCUCUGGAAUCAUUACUGUUUCCUCACUUCUGGAUGAAAUAAAAUAGGCAACGUGUCAACAUUAACCACCUAAACAAAAACAAACAUAUGCUAAGUGAAAAGUUAUAGAAGGAUGUUGGUUAUACGAAGUUUUCUUUCUUUCUUCCCUGCCCCCCAGACCCACCGGAGACAGGGUCUUGCUUUGUCACCCAGGCUGCAGGACAAUGGCAUGAUCUCAGCUCACUGCCACCCCUGCCUUCCAGGCUGAAAGAUUCCUCCCACCUCAGCCUACUGAGUAACUGGGACUACAGGUGUUCACCACCACAAUGGCUAAUUUUUUGUACUUUUGCAAGAGAUGGGAGUUUCGCCAUGUUCCCUAUGAUUGGUCUCGAAUGCCUGAGCCCAAGCUGUCCAUCCUCGUUGGCCUCCCGAAGUGCUGGGAUUAUAGGUGUGAGCCACUACAGCUGAUCUCUACAAAGUUUGAAAACAUGCAAAGCAAUUCUGUUGUUGAUAUGGACACAUUUGUGUGGCAUAAUUGUACAAAAACAUGCAUGGGAACAGCAAACUCUAAAUUGGGGAUAAUGAUUACCUUUAAGGAGGGAGAAAAGGGAAUAGGGGGAGGUGGAAGGGCACAGAUAGAAUUUCUGUUUUUUUAAUUUAAUUUUUUUUUUUACACGGAGUUUCACUCUUGUUGCCCAGGCUGGAGUGCAAUGGCGCAAUCUUGGCUCACCACAACCUCUGCCUCCUGGAUUCAAGUGAUUCUCCUGCCUCAGCCUCCCGAGUAACUGGGAUUGCAGGCAUGCACUACCAUGCCCGGCUAAUUUUUAUAUUUUUAGUAGAGAGGGAGUUUCUCCAUGUUGGCCAGACUGGUCUCGAACUCCCGACCUCAGGUGAUCUGCCAGUCUCAGCCUCCCAAAGUGAUGGGAUUACAGGCGUGAGCCACCAAGCCCUGCCAAUUUUUGUUUUUUAAAAGUAGGUGGCAGGUACAUGGAUGUUUAGUUACAUUUUUAUUACUUCGAGACAGAGGUUAAUUCUUGUCAGAUGUGCAUUAUAAUCACCAAGAAAACCUUCAAAAAUACAGAUUCCCAAGACCUACCAUGAGAACUCCUGAAUCAGAAUUUUCAGGGUAGAAGCCCACGAAUCUAUUUUUCUUUUGUUUUGUUUUACAGUACGUUCUUAAUAUGCUUACCCAGAAUCUACAUUUAAAAAAAAAGUAUAUGUGUGUGUAUAUAUACACAAUAAUAUUACAAGAAGUCCCAUAUACUCUUUACCCAGAUUCCCCAAAUGUUAACAUUUGUUUUAUCUUUUAUGUUUCUCUGAAUCAUAUGCCUAAAUACCUCAGUUUGUAUCUGCUUAAAAAAAAAAUUAGGCCGGGCACGGUGGCUCACGUCUGUAAUCCCAGCACUUUGGGAGGCUGAGGCGGGUGGAUCACCUGAGGUCAGGAGUUCGAGACCAGCCUGGCCAACAUGGUGAAACCCCGUCUCUGCUAAUAAUACAAAAAUUAGCAGGGUGUGGUGGCGCGUGCCUGUAAUCCCAGCUACUCGGGAGGCUGAAGCAGGAGAAUCACUUGAACCCGGGAAGCAGAGGUUGCAGUGAGCCAAGAUCACGCCAUUGCACUCCUGCCUGGACACAAGAGGGAAACUAUGUCUCAAAAAAAAAAAAAAAAAGAAAGAAAGAAAAGUCUAUUCCCAGUACAAUGAUAAAAACCAGUAAAUAAACAUUGAUACUGUAAUCUGCAGACUCUUCAAAUUUCAAAUUUUAUGAAUUGUGUCAAUAUUAUUGCAAAAGAAAAUCCCAGGCCAGGCCGCUUCUGUUUUUUCUACUUUAUUUCCCACCACCACCGCCCCCCCCCCAACCCGCCGCCAUCCUAGUUGUUUUUCUUUUUGUUGUUAAGUAAAAUAUUAACAAGAUUGCAAAACACAGAAUGUAUAGUCAGAGGAAUUCCAUCCCCUCCCCAUUCCUUCUAUUCUGUCCAGUUCAUUUCCACCCAAUCCCUGAGGGUAAACAAUUGUAUUAACUUCUGGUUUCUCUUUCCUGUGUUUCUUUUUUUCUUUUUCUUUUUUUUUUUUUUUGAGACGGAGUCUCGGUCUGUCGGCCGGACUGGAGCACAGUGGCGCGAUCUCGGCUCACUACAAGCUCCGCAUCCCGGGUUCACACCAUUCUCCUGCCUCAGCCUCCCGAGUAGCUGGGACCACAGGCACCCGCUACCACACCCGGCUCAUUUUUUUUGUAUUUUUAGCAGAGACGGGGUUUCACCGACUUAGCCAGGAUGGUCUCGAUGUCCUGACCUCGUGAUCCGCCCACCUCGGCCUCCCAAAGUGCUGGGAUUACAGGCAUGAGCCACUGCACCCGGCCUUUCCUGUUUCUUUUUACACAAAUGAACAUAUACAUGCAUAUUUCCUCCUUUCCUACAAAAAUGGUAGCAUAUUGCCAAUACUCUUUUCCACUUUGUUUUCUUCCUUUAACAAGAGAUCUUGUAUCAGUUCAUAGAAAUCUUUCUCCUUUUUUAAACAGCUGCAUAAUACUCAUAUGCCAUAUAUAUGGGCAUGUCAGUGACUUCCAAUAUAUUGUAAUUUUACAAAAAUGAUGCUAUGAAUAACCUAGUAUGUAUGUAUUGUUGGAGGUUUAUCUUCAGGGUAAAUUCCUAGGAGUAAGGUUGCUAGGUCAAAAAAUAAUACAUGUGCACUGUGCGUGUGUAUGUGUGUUAAAUAUUUAUUGUGAAAUUCUCCAUAGAGAUUAUACCAGCUUGCAUUCCACCAGCACUGUAUGAGUGCCUGUUUCCCAACAGCCUGCCAACAAACUCUGUGAUUACGCUUUUUACUUUUUGCCAAUCUGAUAAGUGAGAAAUUGUAUCUCAGUGUAGUUUUAAUUUGUAAUUCUCUCAUUAUGAGUGAAAACGAACUUUUUUUUCAUGUGUUUAAAGAUCAUCUUUUUUGUUGUUGUUGGGGAUACAUUCUCUGUUCAUGUCUUUUGCCCAUUCUUCUAUUGAAGAGUUUUGAUCUAUUUUUCUUCUCAACUUUUAUGGUUAUUUAAAUAUUAUGGAUGUAAGGUUUUUAUCUGAGAUACGUGUUACAAAUAUUUUCUCCCAGGUUUUAAUUGUCUUUUUACAUUGUUCAUGGUGUUUCUUCCUAUGCAAAAGGUUUUACUUUUAUGUAGUCAAGUUUAUCAAUCUUUUAUUUCAUUUUAUUUAAUUUUGAGUUAUAGUUAGAAUGCUUUCCCCUACCCCAGAUUAAAGAGAAAUUUACUCAUUUUAAAAAUAGUAUGUGUAUGGUGAUAGAUAGAUACAUAAAUAGAUAGGUAGGUAGGUAGGUAGAUCGAUCGAUUCUUUUUUUUUUUUUUUGAUCGAUUCUUGAUCCACUUGGAAUUUGUUCUUGUCGAUGGUAUGAGGUAUGGAUCUCCUUUUACCUUUUUCUUCUAAGUACCUAAUUGUUCCAGUACCAUUUAUUUUAAAAAUCCUUUUGGCCCAGGUGUUUUGAGACACCAUCUUUAUUACAUACUAAAGUUCCAUAUGUACUUGGUCCUACUUCUGGACUUUCUUUUCUACUGGUCUAUCCAUAUUACCAUACUCUACUGUUGUAAAGGCUUUAUGGUAUGUUUUCAUGUCUGGUAGGCCAAGUCCCCCUUGUGACUUUUUUCUUUUCUUAGUAUUUUCCUGGCUAUUCUUGUAUGUUUGCCUUUCUGUAUGAAGUUUAGUAUCAGUUUCUUAAGCUCCAUAAAAAGGUUGUUGGUGCAGCCAUAAAAAAGAAUGAGAUCAUGUCCUUUGCAGGGACAUGAAUGGAGAUGGAGGCCAUUAUCCUUAGCAAACUAAAUCAGGAACAGAAAACCAAAUACCACAUGUUCUCACUUAUAAGUGGGAGCAAAAUGAUGGCAACACUUGUACACAAGAUGAGAACAACAGGCUGGGCGCCGUGGCUCACACCUGUAAUCCCAGCACUUUGGGAGUCUGAGGCAGGUGAAUCACUUGAAGCCAAGGAGUUUGAGACCAGCCUGGCCAACAUGAGGAAACCCUGUCUCUACUAAAAAUACAAAAAACCAGCCAGGCAUGGUGGCGCACACCUGUAAUCCCAGCUACGCAGGAGGCUGAGGCAUGAGAAUCCCUUGAACCCAGGAGGCAGAGGUUGCAGUGAGCUGAGAUCGCGCCACUGCACACCAGCCUGGGUGACAGACUCUGGUUUCCAAAAAAAAGAAGAAGAAGGGAAAAACACACACUGGGGCCUUUUGGAGGGUGGAAGGAGGGAGAGGAUCAGGAAAAAUAAAUAACUAGUGAGUACUAGCCUUAAUACCUCAUGAAAUAAUCUGUAUAAACAAACCCCAUGACACAAGUUUAUCUAUAUAAUAAACCUGCACUUGUACCCUUG